GCCUGGGUGGCUUAGUCGGUUGAGCAUCUGACUUUGGCUCAGUUCAUGAUCUCAUAGUUAGUGGGUUUGAGCCCCGCAUCUGGCU
rnacentral:tRNA from 1 species